AUGGUGGCGAUAUCGAUGUACCGCGGCAACCUCCACCGGGGCGGGGACGACGCCGCGCGCCGCUGGCCGGUGCCCCCGCCCACGCUCUCCGCGUCCCAGUUCCGCCGCCUCCUCCACCGCCGGUCCCUCGCCGUCUCCCGCCUCGCGGGGGCCCCCCGGCCCAACUCCCCCAACCCCCGCCCGGGCGACGGCGCCGCGGGGCCCGUGGCCGUGGGGGAGGCGCAGGAGGUGGACGGGGGUCAGCAGCAGCAGCAGCAUCAGGCCGAGCGGCAGGAGGAGGAGGGCCAUGCUGUGCAGAUGCAGCAGCAGCAUCAUCAGGUGGAGGAAGAGGGACAGGGUGUGCAGCAGCCACAGGGGGAGGGCGAGGGGCAAGACGAGCAGCAGCAGCAAGGAGACGAGGGGGGAGAAGAGGGGGAGCAGGAGGAGGGGGCGGUGGAGGAUGUGGAAAUGGACGAUGCGGGAGAGGUGGUCGCCGGAGAUGCUGAUGCCGGCGGCAAUGGUGACCCUGAAGAAGGUCAAGGCGAAAGCGAAGGCUUCGACCCCAACUCGGAGGUGGGUUAA
rnacentral:rRNA from 1 species